GCCGAGGUAGCUCAGUUGGUAGAGCGGAGGUAUCGUAAACCUCAGGUCGCGAGUUCAAUCCUCGCCCUCGGCU
rnacentral:tRNA from 1 species